UUGACUAUGCUGUCUGUUGGCUUCGGUCAGAAAGAAAAAUUCUGAAACACCUAGUGGAAUGGUGCUAACAUUUGUCUUUCUUCACCUUUACUUCAUGUGGUUUAUUUCUACUAAGGCCUCAGGGCAAUAUUCUGGAAGAAACUCAAGCAGCAUGGAAUGUUAUCUCCCCAUUCAGAAACAGUGCCUACGUUCAUACACGGAAGCAUCAUGGUGGCAUACAAUGAGAAAAGAACGGCCCUUGCUGCGGAAGACUGUUCUAGUUGCGACACCUUGGGGAGAUGCUGUAAAGAUUCUGGGCCUUGAUGUCUCCCUCCCACAUUUUAAGUAUCCCAUAGAGUUUUAUAGAUGGAAACACUUUGUACAUUUUUAAGGGAAACUAUUCUUUUUUGCCCUUUCUGUUCCUACCUGCUCCCUUUCCGCACUUGCCCCUCACACCCUUCCCCCUCAUAUUUCAUACCAGGAGCAAUAUUUUUAUUAAUUGUCAAUUCCUCCAACCACCUAUUUCUGGAUAAUGAUUCUGUUAUAAUAGAUUUAUAAAAGCUAUUAAAGACUGGGAGUGUGAGGACUGAGUUUUUCAAGAACAGAACUGUGUGCUAACUUCCCAGCCCCUAGCCCAGUGCCUGGUUGAGUGAAUGAAUGAACACAGGAAUGCAUGCCAUGACGAGUUUGCUACUUAGCAUGAAAGGCUGCUUUAUGCUAGCCAGACCAAAGACGCCAUCCGAUAAUGCGGAGCUCACGGCAGCAUCCCAUGAAGAUUAGCUGCACAGCAAAGACUGACAGAGACAAGAGAUGGUGCCCACAGAAAUGUCCCCACUUCUGCACUGCCCUACUCCUACUUGGGACUCUUCCCAGAGUCCUCGUUUUGGCACCUGGCACGCCAGUCACAACACAGGAGUUAUCUUCAAUAUCUUUCUGCCUUACUCACAUUGUUUAGCCCUAGGGAUCCCACAUACCAAAACUUCUCUCUCUCUCUCUCUCCCUCUCUCUCUCUUUCUCUCUCCUGCUACCACCGUAUUUUUAGCCAUUAUUACCUCUUGCGUUUAUUACUGUACAAUCUAGGUCCCUAAUCCCUCCCCUAAUUUGUUUAGCUAGAGUAAUCAUUUUCUAGCAAAAAUCAGGUCAUGUCAUUUCCCUGCUUAAAACCCUUCCAUGGCUUCAGUCUACAUUUAGAAUAAAAUAGGACUCCAAAUAAAAUUUUUGUAUAAUAGUUGUACAAUGUGUAACUCUAACUUACACAUUGCACAAAAUAACUUAGCACAAUGUAUAAGUAGGAGUAAUGCUAGCUGCUGUAACAAAUGGAACACAAAACACAUAAUGCUUGAAACCCAGUAGAAGGUUGUUUCUCAGGACAUAAUGUCCAAGGUGAGUGGUCCUAGUUAGCAAUGGUUUUAAACUGUGGUUUAGGAACCAUCUUCUGUCUAGCAACUUUACUAUUGUUGAGAGCCUCGAAGACAUCUGCUUC
rnacentral:lncRNA from 10 species